rnacentral:rRNA from 1 species
UACGGAGGGUGCGAGCGUUAUCCGGAUUCACUGGGUUUAAAGGGUGCGUAGGUGGGCAGGUAAGUCAGUGGUGAAAUCUCCGGGCUUAACCCGGAAACUGCCAUUGAUACUAUCAGUCUUGAAUACCGUGGAGGUAAGCGGAAUAUGUCAUGUAGCGGUGAAAUGCUUAGAUAUGACAUAGAACACCAAAUUGCGAAGGCAGCUUACUACCCC